GCUCCCAUAACUCAACGGAUAGAGCGGCUCUCUUCUAAAGAGCAAAUCGAGGUUCGAUUCCUCGUGGGAGCA
rfam:Candidatus Wildermuthbacteria bacterium RIFCSPLOWO2_01_FTLL_48_16 rifcsplowo2_01_scaffold_2981, whole genome shotgun sequence.